rnacentral:rRNA from 1 species
UACGUAGGGUCCGAGCGUUGUCCGGAAUUACUGGGCGUAAAGAGCUCGUAGGUGGUUUGUCGCGUUGUUCGUGAAAACUCACAGCUCAACUGUGGGCGUGCGGGCGAUACGGGCAGACGUAGAGUACUGCAGGGGAGACUGGAAUUCCUGGUGUAGCGGUGGAAUGCGCAGAUAUCAGGAGGAACACCGGUGGCGAAGGCGGGUCUCUGGGCAGUAACUGACGCUGAGGAGCGAAAGCGUGGGUAGCGAACAGG